GCAUAAUCAUUUGCCUUUUAAUUGAAGGCUAGAAUGAAGGGACAAACGAAAUUUUUCCUGUAUCAAUCUUACCCCCUAAAAUCUGAAUUUCAGGUGCAGAUGCCUGAAUAAAUUUGAAAGACAAGAAGACCCUGUAGAGUUUUAAUGUCUCCGUACCCCCUACCAAACCAUUUUAAUUGGGGCAAUUAAGGAUUUACUAAUACAUCCUAAACCACAUACGAAAAAUUUUUCUCAUCCCUAAUCCUAAUAUUUAGAACAUAAAACAAACUACCUCAGGGAUAACAGGCUUAUCUUCCUAAAGAGUCCACAUUAACAGGAAGGUUUGGCACCUCGAUGUUGGCUUAGAGUAACCUAAUAAAGCAAAAAUUAUUUCUGGUUAGUUUGUUCAACUAUUAAAUCUCU
rnacentral:rRNA from 1 species